rnacentral:snRNA from 1 species
AGAUGUGAGGGCGAUCUGGCUGCGACAUCUGUCACCCCACUGACGACCAGGGUUGAUUCGGCUGGUCUAGCUGGCUGGGGGCGGUCCCCUUCCUCCCUCACCUCUGCACGUGCUUCUCUCCCAGAGCUUUGUGCUCGGUGGAACAGGACGACCGCCUCCGAUGGAGGAGGACCAUUCCUCGGUCAGGGGUGUACGGGUAGCUGCUGCUUAGUUUUAAAAUUUUGUUUCUUGUAUUUUGGGUUUUAGUCCUGAAAU